AGGAAGUGCAGAUGAGGGCUGUCACAGGCUGGUCCAAACUUCCAGUGUCUGGCAGGGGAGGAAUUAAUCAGCCCCUUAGCACCCAGUGCUGCAGGUGGGAGAGAGGCUGAUUUGGGCCAGCUGGGAGAAAUGUGCUGGUUGCUUUGGGAGUGGGGGAUGUGUACAUGACUGUGUUGGCAUAAAGGCAGUGUUGCUGCUUGGUGCUGCUUUGGAUGCAAGAGAGGACUAAGCUGAGACACAUCAUUCUUUGUGCUGUCUCCUGAGUCCUGUAUUUUGUACUCCUCUGCAAUCAACUGCUCCCAUCUUUAAGGUGAUGGUGAGGUAGCUGUGGUCCUCAGGCCCUGUGGCAUUCGCUGCUAGUGCUGCUGUUCCCUCUGAAGAAGGCAGGCUGUUCAGCUGAGAUGAUGGAGCCAUCCCCAUGGAGCUCUGCUGGUUCAGUGCAAAAAAGAUUGAGAAAUACUGAAUGAACAAAUCCCCAUGGGGCAGGGAAUAGCAGCACCCAGAAGCAAGCUCAGGUGGGAGCUGCAGUCCUUCCAUGCAAAUGAGUCGCUGUCCAUCAUGAAGAGCUCCUGAGAAACCCUCCGUUAAUCUCACCCCUCCGAGCUGGAUGCCCCACGAUGGGACGGGGCGGCCCGCAAGACCCGUCCUCGGAGAUGGUGUUAGCUUUCCACGAUACCAGUUUGAUAUUACGAUAAGCCAAAUGGGAUGAGGGCGAAGAAAGUAAAAUUCCCGGGUAUACCUCUGUGUUUGGAAAUACAUUGACUGCCUGGGAUUUAUCUUUCUCUAAUUUCACAAAGCAGCCUAGACUCUUCCAUUGUACAGCUGCACAGCUAGCCUGAAAAUCCCUGAAUUUUUUGGGAAAGUAGUUCAGUUGUUGUUUCCCUUUGCUCCUGCCUGCCUGUUGGUGAAGUUUACUACUGGUAGUUAACAUUGCUUGCCUGCCAUUUGUCUGAUACCAGUGGUAAAGCUUAGAUUGAAGGCAGUGCAGUGGCAUUCAAACUUCUGCUCCCUUCCAAAGUUGCUCAGUCUUUCACUGCUACCUACAUGAGAAGCUUUUAUUUCUAUCUGUUAGGAGGGCCACAACCCACUCUGGGGCCAGCCCUCUAGAAAUAGGGCUGUGAUGAACCUGAACCAUGGGGGUGAAGGGGUUCAUUCGAAAGCUUCACCUGGUGCCAUUUCCUUCUGACUGCUUUGUGACUGAUUUAUCUCAACGUACAGCUGUGCUUAUUUGUAGCCUUUUAUAGACACCUUUGUAUUACCUAUGAUUAUUUUUGCUAUCAUGGAAUUGGAUCUCAAGAAACUUAAAUUGGUGGGAUUACUUCUUGGAAUUGAAUACUACUGUGCUUGCUGAUGGCAGUGCCAUUAGCUGUUAUUCUGAAAAGCUGUGACUUAGCAGAGUCAGUGUUUCAUUCUGAAGUCUUUAACAGUAAUAUUUCAUUAGGCUUUCAUAAGUCAACCAGAAAUGUUUUGUUUCUGGGUACCUCAGCUAUGAAGCAUCACUUUUUGUGGCACUGUCCUUGCGCUUCAGAUAUGGGGGAAUGGACACAGCCUGGCUGUGUCCCCUAUUGAGCUUUAGAGGAAUGGGUCCUGGAUUUACCUACAUCUUACAGCGGUGAGACUGAUCAGAGAAAUGCACCUGAAUGUACACCCGGUGCCUGAGCAGAGCACUUUGCAUUUUCUAAACGUUGCUUUGUUUUAGUGCUCUAACUACAUUCUUAAUUGGGAAAUAUUCCCUGUAGUUCUGUGGUAGUGUCUGCAGGGCUAAGGGGGUCGGUCCCUGUUAGAAGUAAAGGCUCAUCCUCUUUUGAAAGGAAAAUAUCAAAUGUCAUAAUUGGUAUCUUGAUGUUGAUGUGUUAAGUGCAAAAAUGACUUAGGUCAGUAAGUGUGGGCUCAGAACUGUAA